rnacentral:misc_RNA from 1 species
AUAUCAUUUAAAACUAUUCUACAGUUGCAUAGGUUCGCAUGGCUGCCAAUGAUUGGAAGAAAUACGUUCGAUGGUUUACUGUUUGUAAAUUAAUUAGCAAAGAUCAUCCGAUUAACUUACCGAAUAGUACAUUGGAAGAAUUUAUCAAUUUACUUAAGGAUGGUGUCAUUCUAUGUAAUCUAUGCAAUGUUUUAAAGCCCGAUAUUCUACCAUUAACACAUUUCUCUUACAGACCGAAUAAUUCAAAGUUUCUUAGCACCAGAAAUAUUAACGCAUUUAGAGAAACAUGCUCAUAUUUUGGAUUAGAAUCAAAGGAUAUAUUUGAAAUAACCGAUUUUUUUAAAGUUAACGGCUUUCCUAUUCUUCGAACUUUAUACAAACUUUCAGAAAGUAAAUUUUCUAAAGAUUGGGAUCCAUAUGGCUACAGUCUACCAGAAGACGAAAACGGUUCUUCUCCAUCCCGACCAGGAGCAAUUUAUAUAAAUCUUUCAGUUAGUAACUCAAAUAGGGAGGAGGAAGAGGAUAGCAUCUAUCAGAAAUUACUCGGUAAAACCAACCUAAAUUCGACAGAUUCUACAGAUGGAAUAAACUAUGCCCUCAAUGAACUUCUCGAAACGGAAGAAAUAUAUUUGAAUAAGAGUUUACUUCCGAUAAAAACGUUUUUUAUGAUUCCGCUGAAAGGUAAAAUUUGUGAAAGUGAUCACAAGAUCAUUUUUAAUGGUAUUGAUCGGCUAAUAUCCUUUCACAAAGUAUUUUUACAACAACUCCAAGAAGUGAUCAACUCCAAAAACAAUAUAGGACAAAUAUUUUUGAAUAAUAGAGUAAAUUUUUCCAUGUACGGCGAUUAUUGUGCAAAUAUUCCUGUUAUUGAGGAUACUUUGAUGAAAUUUUCGAAAGCAAAUUUGCAGCUUUUCUUUGAUUGCGAAAAGAAUAUGAGUGACUCAAUUGACUAUUGUUUCUCCACAAUGGAACUAUUGAAAGUUCCAAUGAUGAGAUUAACAAAAUAUCCGUUAAUCCUUUCAAAUUUAUACCUAUCCGACAACUAUUCUCCUAAGGAGAAGGGUACCAUUAAAAAGGCGCAAUACGCAAUAGAAGAUAUAUUAAAAUACACGAAUGAAAUGCUAAGAGACACUGAGAUGCUGAUAAACACCUCCCAAAUACAAAAAGAAGUCGAAGGACUUUUACCUUCAAGUCAGAAUUUAACAGAUUUUGGACAUUUCUUAUUGGAUGGUGAAUUUAUGGUAAGUACAAAGAACAACUUUGCAAAAUACAAUAAAAAACAACUUGACACUUUUUUUACUGGAAGGAAACAGAUAAGAUACCAAUUUUUUUUUCAACUAAUGAUAACAUGCUUAUUUUUCUUACGCAUAACUAAGAAAUAAACGACUAUUUUAUUAUUCCCUUAAUAGAUUGACGAUAAACGCAGAUAUAUUCUGUUAUUUGACGAUGUUCUAUUCGUUUUAAAAAAGAAGCAGAAUAAUGGUAAUCAAUAUAAAGUUAAAAGGCAAUAUUAUCUACGCGAUUAUAAAUAUUCACUACUAGAUAAUUCCAAAUCUAAAAAAUGGCAAUAUGGAAUAAAGUUAUCUUCCGUGGAUAAUCCUACAGAAAAAUUGAUUAUAAACGCAAGAGAUAAUACAGCUUUUGAAAGUUUAGAGAGUAGUGUUAAAACAUUAUUCGAAAAGUUUGAUCAUUAUUUUGUUAAAAAUCAUAACUUUUCUCUAAAAACAUUUCAAACGAAAACUCCUGUUUUCUGUAAUUUUUGUACUUAUACAUUAAAAGGUAUUAUUCGUCAAGGAUAUCAAUGCUCCAAUUGCUUUAUCAAGUCUCAUUUCGAAUGUCUAAAUCAAGGUGAUAAAUACGAUUGUAUUUUUAACGAAACUAAACUGGGCCAUACUGAAGAUUUAACAAAUAUGCCUUGGUUAGAUAUACAUUUAUAUUAUUAAUUGUAUUGUUUGUAAUAAUAAUUUGUAUUAUUCAAAUAUAGGUAUGCAGGAUUUAUGACUAAGGAGGAAGCAAAAAAUAUUUUAACUGCCUCUGUACAAGGGAAAUUCCUUGUUAGAGAGACGAGGUUGAAUAAUCAAAGUUUUUUCACUAUAACUGUAAGAGUGAAACAUAAUCCGAAGCAUGUUAGAAUUGAAAAAAGGGCUAAUUGUGUUUAUGUAUAUAAAGACUUUAUGUUUCCGUCGAUUGUCGAACUUGUUCAAUAUUACUCUGAAAAUGUUAUUUUUGAGAAUAUGACUUUAAAAUAUCCUUAUAAAGCUUAAUGAAUUAAUUGAUUACUUAUAAAUUUCUUUAUUUUUACUUUCUAUUAUUUCAUAAUUCAUUGAAAUAAACAGAAUAAACUAUAACAAACAAAUAAAACCAAGCCUGAAUAUCACCAUGAUUUUCUAAAUGAUUCAGUGCUUUGUCUAGGAUUAUAGUUAUUUACAAAUAUCAUUCCCUUUCUAGUCACGAUAUAUAUAUAAAUGAUAUGCAUUUAUAUCCUGUACAAACCAUUUGUUUUACUUUGAAGAUAGAGAAAAUUGCUUCCUGCUCCUACUAAAAUUUGAGAUGAUUUGAAGCUAAUAGUAAAUAAAUUGAAUUUUCCUUUGUUUUUGUUUUUGUUGUUCUAUUUUGCACCUAAAGACUUCAUUUAUCUUCAGAUAUGAUUAACUAUUUCGUAAUUAAACGAAUUAACACGAAUAUUAAUUGUCUAUUCUAUAGAACAAGCUUGGAAAUGUUAUUUAAAAAUUUCAAUACUUUAACCAUAGAAUUCGUA